AGAAACUUCACUGUAAUUUUAUAGGAUUAUUUUUUUGAUUUGUCGGUUACGUUAAUUCGGCGGUAAAGGCUCGAAAUCACUACUCACUCACUAGUACUCUACGUUAAUACUAUUCAGCCAUCGAUAUUCCUUAAUCCCUAUGGGCCUAUUCCCCAUACUUUUGAUUUCAUCUGUGAAAUGAAAAAUGGAAUUUGGGAACAUGGAUAAUGGCGUCACGAAUGCCUUUGCCAGUAAGAAUUUUUUGCAUUGUGUUUCAAAUGCAAAUUGUCUUAUAUUUAUUGCAAUACUUAUUGGGUAUGUUUCCAAAAGAACGUGCAAUUUCCAUAACGUCCACGGGAUAUGUGAAUUAAUACAAGAUAUAGAAUUUAGCAACUUCAAUAAUAAUAGACUCAAUACUGGUUAAUGGAUAUGGAUGCGUCAAUAACAAGGGUCAUCCAUUGAUAGCCCUCACCAGCAACAGGUACUUGUGCUCCCCAAGUCGUGAUACUGGUUUGAUACCUUUGUUAAUCCUUCAACAUACGAAUCCUGCUCAAACGGUACCCGCAGAAGCUCAGAUAUAUGUCAUCUAUAUCCUAAUGUGAUAAUCAGAGCAACUGCUACCACCAGAGGGAUUUUAAUGAGACUUGGAGCAAUUUGUUAUAUGCUGUAGGACUAGCUAUAAUUAUGUUUAAGAUUAACAUCAGCCAGCCUCACAGCCAGAGUGGACUAAAGAAAAAGCACAAAGGGCACAAAAGGAUAUUAGAAGUAAAAAUAAACUUGUUGUGAAGUUUAAUAGGCUACAU